rnacentral:rRNA from 1 species
UCGGGAAUUUUGGACAAUGGGCGCAAGCCUGAUCCAGCCAUGCCGCGUGUGGGAAGAAGGCCUUCGGGUUGUAAACCACUUUUGUCAGGGAAGAAACGGCCUGAUCUAAUACAUUGGGUUAAUGACGGUACCUGAAGAAUAAGCACCGGCUAACUACGUGCCAGCAGCCGCGGUAAUACGUAGGGUGCGAGCGUUAAUCGGAAUUACUGGGCGUAAAGCGUGCGCAGGCGGCUUUGCAAGACAGAUGUGAAAUCCCCGGGCUCAACCUGGGAACUGCAUUUGUGACUGCAAGGCUAGAGUACGGUAGAGGGGGAUGGAAUUCCGCGUGUAGCAGUGAAAUGCGUAGAUAUGCGGAGGAACACCGAUGGCGAAGGCAAUCCCCUGGACCUGUACUGACGCUCAUGCACGAAAGCGUGGGAGCAAACAGGAUUAGAUACCCACGUAGUCCCUGAGCGGGCUGGCAAGGCGCAU